rnacentral:rRNA from 1 species
AUGGCUCCCCCUACACCGUCCUCGUCUCCGAUGCCGGUUAUGGACGCACGGAUGAGGCUGAUAAUCCAGGCAGCAGCACUAAUUAGUGUGAUUCAGGCAUGGGUCAUGUUCAUGCACCAGAGAGUUGUUCGUCGUGCUGGAAGACCUUUGAUUCGCUAUGGUCCAUUAUUUCCCCGAGAACAGGAGAGGAUCCAAAAUCUGAACUACAUCUACAACUGCAAUGACGUCGAGGCUCUGUGGAUGCUUAGAAUGAAAAUAGCACCAUUUGCCAGGCUUGUUGAGACUUUCAGGAGCAUGGGGCUGUUACAAGAUAGCAUCAACACCAGUGUCGAAGAGCAAGUGGCCAUGUUCCUCCAUGUUGUUGGUCAUAACUAG